UCACACAAAAAAAAAACGGAGUCACCUGGGUUAGAUAGUCAAAGAUAUCGAGCGCGAGUGCGCGUUUGUUUCAGUUCCGGUGAAGAACUCUAUACCGCAGAGGACUUCUUGUACGUACAUCCCCCGUCCCACUCCGGUGAAUGAGUUAUCGCAGAAUCGCAUCACCAUGAGAGUCAUGUGUGUCAGAUUAGAAUCGCAUAAAUUACCCCGUCACCUGAGAAGGUAGCUUAGAGUGGUGGGCUGUUUGAAGUUGGUCACCGGUUUAAGCCGUCCAAUUGGCAAACUCGCUCCCCGGUAUUAUAUCAGUGUGUGAUUCACGUUUGGAAAUGCAAAUGUGAUCAGAGUCGGAGGCGAGCUGAGAAAGAUAGUCAUCGAACCGGGAUAUGAAUUCGGCGAAUGGAGAAGAGGGGGGGAUUGGGAAUUCCUAGAAUUGUGCACAUAACAAGCGUUGCUGAUGAGGUGCUACAUUCCUAACUCAAUCUUUCCAAAAUCUUGGAUAGUGCGGCAGGGCAAACAAAAAAGCGAAGCAGAAAAGGUGAGGUUACUAUUGUUAAGGUCAGAAGAUUGCGUUACAGUGAAGCUUAGAGAAGUAAACAAGCUAAGGUUUAUUGCAAAAGUAGAGACCGUACAGGACAAUGUCUCACCGUGUAUUGUCCACGUGUUAAAAAAAGUCCUUCUCACCCGAACCUGCAUACAACUGGAAUGACGGUGCAAAACAAACGACACAAAAUCUGUCGCUAUCCAUCCAUCAUCCGGAAGGCUCAUUCCGGCUUGCGCUUCCAGGUAGCGGGUAGUAUUAGGAAUCUACGUCCAAAGCCCGGGGACAUCUACCGCUACUACCAGGUCGGCAGCAUUGUCACUGCAAGUGUUCGGUAUCGUUUAUUUCGGGGUUACACCUCGGAAGGCUACCGUGCCCGCUGCUCUGUCGGAGUGUGUCGGGUCGAAGCAAUUAUGCGCAUUCGUAAUGCGUCCUCCCCUUGCGUCCACGGCAGAACUCUCCUCGGAAUGUCUUCAAAAAGGGAUAUAGAAUUUGGCGCAUCGUAUCCGGUGGUCACCCCGGUGGAGCACACUGGACACGACCCGCUCCAGCCAUGCAUGGGGAGCGGCAGGUUCGUAGUGGGAUUGUGUUUCCGAAUAAUUUUAAUUAAAAAUUCAAAUUUAUCACACCUCUCGUGUUGGAUGCCCACAGCGUGGCCUAGAAGGGUUUCCGCUUCUUGGAAGGAACACAGCAACACACAAAAGACGACGGCGGAAGAGCACUACGAACGUGUGGGACACAUUUCGGCACCGACCGGCGGCGGACAGUUCUUGAGUAGAAUUCCAAUUCCAGCAUCGAGACGUGGAACCACUUGCCCCCAAUAACCGGUUGAUUCCCCCUUCUUCAGAGCGGACACGGUGCCCACCUGGGGGUAUAUAUCGCUUGCGACGACCCAGCAGUGCUUUACGGUGCAUAAAUCUUCCGGUGGAGAACUUGUUGAUGGCGACUUUGGCGAUUCCUGGGAAAGAAGCGGCAGGGUUUCACUCUCUCUCUCUCUUCCCAAAGACUACGCGAGUCGGGUUUAAAGUGACAAGAUGAAACGCUGCCACUUCGGAGAGUGUAAAAUACUCCCAUCUCCUCCUGAGGGAUCUAAUGCAAUGAGCACAAAAGUAAAAAAAAAAAUUGCGGCGAAUGCCACAAUAAUGCAAACAAAUUCCUUACCAAAGAACGCGCUCUAACAGCAACACCAGUCAAUUUGUGGUACACAUUUUCCGUACACGACCAGAAUGGGCCGUACCAGGAACAAACCUAAACUCCGACCGUUUGCCUUCUCUCUAUCUUUCCUGUUUGGUCAGAAAGCGGAGGGAAAGGGCAAAGCGGAUAAAGCGGAUCACUCGCACACAUCUACAUACUUUGUGUUCCACCACAUUGCCACGAGGCGGCGGCGGCGAUGGCGGCAACCUUCAAAGGCGAGUUCACGCUUAUCUUAAUUUUUUGAUGAACUUAUUCCUCGCCCUUUUCCCUGCACGCACAUCACACAGAACAAGAAACACAGACACACACACACAUACACCGAGGAGCCGUCCUGGGUGCGGAGGGCACUCCAGUGGACUUUGAAAUCUCCUCACGCCUUCCCAUUGGGUUUGGAGGAUUUUUAGAAUUCAGUGUGAGGUGGGGUGGAAGAAUCAGGGGUUUUUUUUGGAGUUCUUUUGCCCGCCAACGGACCAGCCCAGCAUGAGCGUGAUGCAAUCAGCGACGUGUGAGGAUGACAUCAGAAAGGAUACACACCGAAAUGAGACCUGUCAGAGAAGCUGGUGUAAAUGAAUACAACCGUAGCAAAAAGGGUGAGCCACCGAUGCAAAAACGGAAUGAGAUUUUCUUGUACAGCGACGAUCGUCCUCCACUUGAAGUACACCACGAAGGUGUCUUUCUUUGAAGCGAACCUGUACAAAGCUAAACCAUACCCAAGUCGAACAGCCGAAGAGCACCAACAGCAGCAUCAGCAACCGCUUGUGCCCGAGGCACUGACACCGGAACUGAUUAAAUGCGCACAAACUGGCCCGGGCAAGGUCGGUAGCCGACCGGCACAUCCAUUCUUCCGCUUCCAUAUCUACACCAUCACGCCGCAGAUAAACGAAUUCUUGCCGCGGAGCUGGCCACGGUGCAUAACAAAUUGGUAAUGGGAUUGCUUUCAUGAGGUUUUUUUUUAUUACCAUUUUUGCCUUUUACGCCGCUCCGCAAGAGAAGAGCCCCAGCAGCGCAGAAGCGCGAUUUUACAAUGAUUCAGUUUUUUUUUCAAAUGUUGUUCGCCCGCUCACCACCGAGCUCCAGACAAUUUAACAUCCAUUUCCCGUGGCCCCGGCACGAUCGGUUCCGGUGUCAGGGCUGGGUUAUUUCGUAAAUGGAUUCCACCAGAACAUAUGGAGAAGCGAGCAAAAAAGGCCAUUAUUUCAGAAUCGAUAAUGCAUGGCUAAAGUGAACCGCUUAGAGAAGAGCCCCCUUUUUUGUGGAGCAGUUUUAUUAUGAGGUACAGGCUUUUCAUUCGCUUCUAUUAAUCACCCCGUAAAGAUGUACAAUCCGAUGAUCGGAGAUAGCGAGACGGAUGAUGACACAGCGCGCCCAUGCCCGAGGGGAUACAGCAAGCGAACUGCCCAAAAAACCUUCCAGACCCGGGGCGUUCGGGUAAGAGACAAUAAAUUAAUACCGACUAAACCAUGGUGGAUCAUCCACAACACCCACCCGGGUUCUCUGUGAGGCUACUGAACACACAUCCUGAUCUAAUCAGCAAACUACCACCCCGAAUGCCUGAUGCCACUCGUCUUCGCCACGGAUUCGUCCGGGGUCGUCGUCAUCGCGCGCCAAACAAAUUGACAAGAUUGAAUGAUAGAGAAUUAUUCAACGUCCAUGUCCUGUUGUUCCGUCUAAACGAACACACCGUUGAUCGCAGCGAUCUGUUUGACGGUGUAAAAACGACUCACUCGUUGCCUCAUCUGCCUCGUGUGGGGGUUUAUUGAAUGCCACCGGUUACCGGUCGAAAUGAAGAUAGUCACAGCGCAGCUUCACGAAACUACGAUCGCGAUCGCGCCCCACGAUAACGGCCAUAAAAUAUCCCACUUUAGGGCAAGGCGCAAGCGUGAUAACGUAGUUUGCCGUUACUGCUAUUGUUAAACGAAACGGGAAAUUGACACCUUCGGAGUUUCGGAUUACGCAGAAGCAUUAAAAAUGAUCGCGAAACAUCGUCCUGCCCCAGGUAUGGAAGCGAACGAUAACAAGCCGUAAUACGAUUGACCGAUUGACGGGAAAAGUUACAACACAUAAUGAAACGAUUUCAAAGCCAAUUUACACAGACUGUUGAACUCUCUCAGAGGGGUGUUUUGAGGUAGAAGACGAAAGUAAAUCGCAAAGAAGCCUUUCCAGUGUAGCCCCCAAACAGAUCACUUCAGCGCAACUGAUCAAGCGUCCGCCGGAAGGGAAAUUACUUACCUUAAUAAUACCCAAAAACAGAGGUUACAAAGGCAAAUUUAAAAAAAAGCCACGACGACAACGCAUACAUUUCAAUCUGAAUUAAGCUUUAUUGAAGCUGAUGCCUUGAGGUAUCAUUCCGCACCUACAUAAAGGUGAUCGCAUAUCCAAAAUAAGCAAAACAUGUUCUGCUUGAACGGUGUUGUUACUUUUUUCUGGCGAUAUUAUCACAUUGACACGAGUUGAAAAUCCCCAAUGCAUUAAUACGCGAUUUCAUUGGAACAACCCAAUCUUAUUUAUAAUCCCCGGCAUCAGAUUUAAACUGUUCGCGCAUUGAUCAGUGCAAGUAAACUUACUCUUUAUCCAAAAAAGAUAUUUUCAAAAAGCACUACGCAUAAACGAAACGAAAGCAACUAUUUACUGCAUUUUUGUCAUUUACUACAUCGAUCGCCCAAGUUCGAGAAAGGGAAAGGGAUUAAUUAUUCCGGACUCGUGGAUAAUUACCAUCAGCAACACUGACCCGAAGGUGUUGACUGAUAAAAUAUCAGAUUACUUCAAUCUUGUUUGGGCCAUUUCUUUUUUUUGUCGAUUACACAUCUUAAUCGUGAGUCUACACAUGCAACGAGCUUCAACCGGGUUAAAACAGAAAGAUUGUUAAUUAUCGAUUGAAAGCUAGUGCGCUUUUGCAGUAACUGAGCAUAGUAUUUUGUUUUUUUUUUUUUACAUUUCUGUUUAAAUUAAAUCGAGCCUGUACGAAUCCGUCGCUCCAGCGAAACGUGUUUAAUCGCAGCAAAAGCGCAUGUACAGGAUUGACAAUUCGCGCAAAAAGUGAAAUAAUUUUUAAAUUACUACUCUUGCUCAAGCUAGAAGGUAAAAAAAAACUAUAUGAAUGCAAGCAGCAAGAAAAAGGAACGCAGGAAAUUUGUAGCCUCGCCAUCACGCAUGUCAAUCAAACUUCAGCUACAACAUUGGAGAAGGAUCACACGCUGCGGGGAGGAGAUUUUUAAAUCCAGUUCACCCCAUCUCACACUCAUCAUCAGUUGGACACAUCAAUUUACUGGUUUGUGGUCAUCCGGACCACUAGCUUGGGCUGGGAAAUGAUUGCGGUACGAUUCGUUCCGAGCAGCACAAAAUUGGAUAACAUUUUCGAGGAUCAACAAUUGUGGUCGUAUGUUGCGCAGUCACGUUCAGCUUCAGUGGAUAAUAUUGUGAUUUACACGUAAUUAUAUUUUUU